ensembl:snRNA U6 U6 spliceosomal RNA
GUGCUCGCUUUGGCAGCAUAUGUAGUAAAACUGGCACAAUAGAGAGAAGAUUAGCCCCAGAGCAGGAACGACAUGCAAAUUUAUGAAGUGUUCCAUAUUUUU